rnacentral:rRNA from 1 species
CCUACGGGGGGCAGCAGUGGGGAAUAUUGGGCAAUGGGCGAAAGCCUGACCCAGCAACGCCGCGUGAAGGAAGAAGGUUUUCGGAUUGUAAACUUCUGUCCUCAGGGAAGAAGGAAGUGACGGUACCUGAGGAGGAAGCCCCGGCUAACUACGUGCCAGCAGCCGCGGUAAUACGUAGGGGGCGAGCGUUGUCCGGAAUGACUGGGCGUAAAGGGCGCGUAGACGGCUUUUUAAGUCUGGAGUGAAAGUCCUGCUUUCAAGGUGGGAAUUGCUUUGGAGACUGGAAGGCU